rnacentral:rRNA from 1 species
AUCGGCCUACGGGGGGCAGCAGCCGCGGUAAUACGGAGGAUGCGAGCGUUAUCCGGAUUUAUUGGGUUUAAAGGGUGCGUAGGCGGACUGUUAAGUCAGCGGUAAAAGCCCGGGGCUCAACCCCGGCGAGCAGUUGAAACUGGCUGUCUUGAGAUGUCGAGAGGUAUGCGGAAUGCGCAGUGUAGCGGUGAAAUGCUUAGAUAUUGCGCAGAACUCCGAUUGCGAAGGCAGCAUACCGGCGGCGAUCUGACGCUGAGGCACGAAAGCGUGGGGAUCGAACAGGAUUAGAUACCCUAGUAGUCCAG